rnacentral:rRNA from 1 species
UACGUAGGGUGCAGGCGUUAUUCGGAUUCACUGGGCGUAAAGGGUGCGCAGGCGGUUGGGUGUGUCAGAUGUGAAAUCCCGAGGCUCAACCUCGGAACUGCGUCUGAAACUACUCGACUAGAGUACUGGAGAGGGUAACGGAAUUCACGGUGUAGCAGUGAAAUGCGUAGAUAUCGUGAGGAACACCAGUGGCGAAGGCGGCCUGCUGGGCAGUUGCUGACGCUGAGGCGCGACAGCGUGGGGAGCAAACAGG